rnacentral:misc_RNA from 1 species
UCAAGAGUGUAUAACCUCACUUGUAAAAUAGUGGGGUUAACCUCCCGUCCUUUGCUGGUACCCCCCCGAAACUUUGGGGGAUUAAAAGGUACAUUUUGAUUUCUGCUUCGGUGGGGUUUUAACCCACCGGAACAACCUCAAAAAUUCUUUUAAAAAAUCAUUCAGUCCGAGAAUUUUUUAAAUUGACAGA